rnacentral:misc_RNA from 1 species
AUUAUGUUUUUAUUAAUUAUUAAAAAUAUGAUUAAAAGGGACCAGAAGCAAUUCAUUUUGACCGUUAUUUGUUAUGGAUUUACUUUUAACAUGACAAUUUGAUAAACUCGGGAGCUUCACUGUAGGUGUUUAAGUUUGUUUGUGUGCUAAAGUUAUUUUCGAAUCAGUUACAGUUCGAAUUUAAUCGAAAAGGAAAUGGGGAAAAGAUAAGCUUAGAAAAUCUAGUAAAUAUAUGGAGUGUUUUACGAGAUAUCGGCGACGUGGAAGAAAAUGUUGACGGCAAUGCAGAAAUAUAGUUUCUUAUGUAUAUUUUUGUGAAAUAAAAAUUAAGUAAUGUUAGUUAAAA